GGACUGAGACACGGCCCAGACUCCUACGGGAGGCAGCAGUAGGGAAUCUUCCACAAUGGGUGCAAACCUGAUGGAGCAAUGCCGCGUGAGUGAAGAAGGUCUUCGGAUCGUAAAGCUCUGUUGUUAGAGAAGAACACGCGCUAGGUAACUACUAGCGCCUUGACGGUAUCUAACCAGAAAGUCACGGCUAACUACGUGCCAGCAGCCGCGGUAAUACGUAGGUGACAAGCGUUGUCCGGAUUUAUUGGGCGUAAAGGGAGCGCAGGCGGUCUGUUUA
rnacentral:rRNA from 1 species